AAAGCGCACGCAGGCGGUCUGUCAAGUCAGAUGUGAAAUCCCCGGGCUUAACCUGGGAACUGCAUUUGAAACUGGCAGGCUAGAGUCUUGUAGAGGGGGGUAGAAUUCCAGGUGUAGCGGUGAAAUGCGUAGAGAUCUGGAGGAAUACCGGUGGCGAAGGCGGCCCCCUGGACAAAGACUGACGCUCAGGUGCGAAAGCGUGGGGAGCAAACAGGAUUAGAUACCCGGGU
rnacentral:rRNA from 1 species